rnacentral:rRNA from 1 species
GAUCUCAGCUCAAGCAAGAGGACCCGCUGAAUUUAAGCAUAUCAAUAAGCGGAGGAAAGGGCGAAUCGUAGCCUGCGGU